rnacentral:rRNA from 1 species
GUCCACGCUGUAAACGAUGGGUACUAGACGUUGGGAAGCUUGUCUUCUUAGUGUCGCAGCUAACGCGAUAAGUACCCCGCCUGGGGAGUACGGCCGCAAGGUUAAACUCAAAGGAAUUGACGGGGGCCCGCACAAGCGGUGGAGCAUGUGGUUUAAUUCGAUGCAACGCGAAAACCUUACCUGCCCUUGACAUCUGGAGAAUCCUGCAGAGAUGCGGGAGUGCCUUCGGGAACUCCAAUACAGGUGCUGCAUGGCUGUCGU